CAAUAGCGUAUAUUAACGUUGUUGCAGUUAAAAAGCUCGUAGUUGGAUUUCUGGAGGGAGCGUCGGCCCGUAUUUACGAGUGCGUGACGUCUCUGUCCAUCCUUGCGGGAAGGCACGGCAUUGAUUUGUUGUGUCGGAUCGCAUCAUUUACUGUGAAAAAAUUAGAGCGUUCAAAGCAGGCUUUCGCUUGAAUACAUUAGCAUGGAAUAAUAAGAUAGGACUUUGGUGCUAUUUUGUUGGUUGAGCCUAAAGUAAUGAUUAAUAGGGAUAGUUGGGGGCACCUGUAUUGCGUUGUCAGAGGUGAAAUUCUUGGAUUUACGCAAGACAAACAGCUGCGAAAGCGUCUGCCAAGGAUGUUUUCAUUA
rnacentral:rRNA from 1 species